rnacentral:rRNA from 1 species
UACGGGGGGGGCAAGCGUUGUUCGGAAUUACUGGGCGUAAAGGGCUCGUAGGCGGCCAACUAAGUCGGAUGUGAAAUCCCCAGGCUUAACCUGGGAACUGCAUCCGAUACUGGAUGGCUUGAAUCCGGGAGAGGGAUGCGGAAUUCCAGGUGUAGCGGUGAAAUGCGUAGAUAUCUGGAGGAACACCGGUGGCGAAGGCGGCAUCCUGGACCGGUAUUGACGCUGAGGCGCGAAAGCUAGGGUAGCAAACGGG